UACGUAGGGUGCAAGCGUUGUCCGGAAUUAUUGGGCGUAAAGAGCUCGUAGGCGGUCUGUCGCGUCUGCUGUGAAAACUCGGGGCUUAACCCCGGGCCUGCAGUGGGUACGGGCAGACUAGAGUGCGGUAGGGGAGACUGGAAUUCCUGGUGUAGCGGUGAAAUGCGCAGAUAUCAGGAGGAACACCGGUGGCGAAGGCGGCUCGCUGGGACGUUACUGACGCUGAGACGCGAAAGCGUGGGGAGCAAACAGG
rnacentral:rRNA from 1 species